rnacentral:rRNA from 1 species
CGGGAAUUUUGGGCAAUGGGCGAAAGCCUGACCCAGCAACGCCGCGUGAAGGAUGAAAUCCCUCGGGAUGUAAACUUCGCAAGAACGGGAAGAAUAAACCGGUGUUAACACCACCGGCGAUGACGGUACUGUUUGUAAGCUCCGGCUAACUACGUGCCAGCAGCCGCGGUAAUACGUAGGGGGCGAGCGUUGUCCGGAGUUACUGGGCGUAAAGGGCACGCAGGCGGUUGUGUCAGUUUGCGGGGACAGUGGGUGGCUUAACUACCCAAGGGUCGCAAAGACGGCACGACUGGAGAGCGAGAGAGGGACCUGGAACUCCGGGUGGAGCGGUGAAAUGCGUAGAGAUCCGGAAGAACACCACUGGCGCAGGCAAGGUCCUGGCUCGUAUCUGACGCUGAGGUGCGAAAGCUAGGGGAGCGAAC